UACGUAGGGUGCGAGCGUUGUCCGGAAUUAUUGGGCGUAAAGAGCUUGUAGGCGGUUUGUCGCGUCUGCUGUGAAAUUUCGGGGCUCAACCCCGAACUUGCAGUGGGUACGGGCAGACUAGAGUGUGGUAGGGGAGACUGGAAUUCCUGGUGUAGCGGUGAAAUGCGCAGAUAUCAGGAGGAACACCGAUGGCGAAGGCAGGUCUCUGGGCCACUACUGACGCUGAGGCGCGAAAGCGUGGGGAGCAAACAGG
rnacentral:rRNA from 1 species